GGCGGGGCAGGGGCGGGGCAGGGGCGGGGCAGGGGCGGGGCACAGGUGAGACACAGGUGAGAGACAGGUGAGAUACAGGUGUGAUACAGGUGAGACACAGGUGAGACACAGGUGAGAGACAGGUGAGAGACAGGUGUGACAGGUGUGAUACAGGUGUGAUAGGUGUGAUACAGGUGUGGCACAGGUGAGACAGGUGAGACACAAGAGAGAUACAGGUGACAGGUGUGACACAGGUGAGACAGGUGUGACACAGGUGUGAGGCAGGUGAGACACAGGUGUGAGACAGGUGAGACAGGUGAGAUACAGGUGAGAGGUGUGACACAGGUGUGAUACAGGUGUGAUAAGUGUGACACAGGUGUGACAGGUGUGACAGAUGUGACACAGGUGUGACACAGGUGUGACACAGGUGUGAUACAGAUGUGACACAGGUGUGACAGGUGUGAUACAGGUGUGACACAGGUGAGACAGGUGUGAGACAGGUGAGAGAAGUCUGACAGGUGUGGCACAGGUGUGACAGGUGUGACACAGGUGUGACACAGGUGAUACAGGUGUGACACAGGUCUGAGACAGGUGAGACUGGUGUGACAGCUAUCACAGGUGAGAUGCAGGUGUGACAGGUGUGAGACAGGUGAGAGAAGUCUGACAGGUGUGGCACAGGUGUGACAGGUGUGACACAGGUGACAGGUGGGACAGGUGUGUGAGUGACAGGUGAGACACAGGUAAGAGGUGUGACACAGGUGGGACACAGGUGACACAGGUAUCACAGGUGUGACAGGUGUGACAGGUGUGAUACAGGUGAGACAGGUGUGUGAGUGACAGGUGUGACACAGGUAAGAGAGGUGACACAGGUGUGACACAGGUGGGACAGCUGUUACACAGGUAUGACAGGUGAGGUAGGUGUGAUAGUUGUGACACAGGUGAGACACAGGUGAGAGACAGGUGUGGCACAGGUGUGCCCAGGUGUGAUACAGGUGUAUCCCAAUGGAUCCCAGGUGUGCUCAGGUGUAUCUCAGGUGUAUCUUAGGUGUAUCUUAGGUGUAUCCAGGUGUGCUCAGGUGUAUCCCAAUGGAUCUCAGGUGUGCCAAGGUGUGUCCCAAUGGAUCCCAGGUGUGCCCAGGUAUGCCCAGGUGUAUCUCAGGUGUAUUUCAGGUGUAUCUCAGGUGCACUCAGGUGUAUCCCAGGUGUAUCCCAAUGGAUCUCAGUUGCACUCAGGUGUAUCCCAAUGGAUGCCAGGUUUAUCCAGGUGCGCCCAGGUGUAUCCCAGGUGUAUCCCAGGUGUAUCCCAAUGGAUCCCAGGUUUAUCCAGGUGUAUCCCAGGUGCACCCAGGUGUAUCCCAGGUGUAUCCCAGGUGCACUCAGGUGCACUCAGGUGUAUCCCAGGUUUAUCCAGGUGCACCCAGGUGUAUCCCAGGUGUAUCCCAGGUGCACCCAGGCGUAUCCCAGGUGUAUCCCAGGUGUAUCCCAGGUGCACCCAGGUGUAUCCAGGUGUAUCCAGGUGUAUCCCAGGUUUAUCCAGGUGUAUCCCAGGUUUAUCCAGGUGCACCCAGGUGUGCCCAGGUGUAUCCCAGGUACACUCAGGUGUAUCUCAGGUGUGUCCCAAUGGAUCCCAGGUUUAUCCAGGUGUGCUCAGGUGUAUCUCAGGUGCACUCAGGUGUAUCCCAGGUGUAUCCCAGGUGCACCCAGGUGUGCCCAGGUGUAUCCCAGGUGCACCCAGGUGUAUCCCAGGUGUAUCCCAGGUGCACCCAGGUGUAUCCAGGUGUAUCCCAGGUGCACCCAGGUGUAUCCCAGGUGCACCCAGGUGCACCGAGGUGUAUCCCAGGUGUAUCUCAGGUGUAUCCCAGGUGUGCCCCAGGUGUAUCCAGGUGUAUCCAGGUGUAUCCCAGGUGCGCUCAGGUGUAUCCCAGGUUUAUCCAGGUGUAUCCCAGGUGCACCCAGGUGCACCCAGGUGUAUCCCAGGUGCGUUACCUGCAGGCGGUGGAGGCGGCCCAGCUGGCCGAGGACCUGCGGGCGCAGGGCGAGCACGUGCAGGCGCGGCUGCGGGAGCUGCAGGUGUGACACGGGUGUAUCCUAAUGGAUCCCAGGUUUAUCCAGGUGUGCUCAGGUGUAUCCCAAUGGAUCCCAGGUGUGUUCAGGUGUAUCUCAGGUGUAUCCCAAUGGAUCCCAGGUGUAUCCCAAUGGAUCCCAGGUGUAUCCCAGGUUUAUCCAGGUGUAUCCCAGGUGCACCCAGGUGUAUCC